rnacentral:lncRNA from 1 species
UUAAGUAUCAGGAAGACCAAAAGAAAGACGAGAAUGAAGUAUCUGAGAAGACAGGGAAACAAAAAGCCAACAGAAGAGAGAGAAGAGGAACCACUGCUUAAAGGACAAAACUACGUUACAGACUCUGUAUGUAACAGCUCAAUGAAAAUUAGUCUUUGUAUCAGCGAAGUUCCAAUAACUUUUCUUCUCUCCUGCAACGCGUGGAUGGUUAGAUUUUGAUAUUUUUUAAUCUAAUAGAUGAAAAUAAUUUUAACAAAAAAC